rnacentral:rRNA from 1 species
CUCCUCCUGUUCAUUCAGCUAGUUAGUCGGUCGACGCCGAACCUCAAUGCUUCAGCAAUCACCAUGCGGGUUGAUCGGUGGAGGACGGAGACACACGGUUUCCAUCUUCGAACCGAGGAGAUGACCGUGACGCUCCAGGAUGUCUCCUUGAUCACCGGUCUUCCUAUCGAGGGGAAGCCUCUCUGUAUGAGCACUGAUUCUGAUGGGUGGCGCUAG